rnacentral:tRNA from 1 species
GCCUGGCUGGCUCAGUGGGUGGAGUGCGUGACUCUUGAUCUCUGGGUGGUGGUUCGAGCCCUAUGUUGGGCA